CGUUCCUCCAGUCAUUGCCCAAUGCGAUUCCUAUCGCUAAUAUCUCUGGCUGAUCCAGCUCUCGUCUCGGAAAUCUGGGCUGCAUCUCUAGCCCAAAGUGGCCUCCUAUUCUUGUGUCCUCCUUCAUCUGUGCUGAUCUGAGACAAGGUCUUCCUAAGGUAGACUAGACAAUGUCCACGAUGGUGUACCCGAGGGAAGAGAAGCUGGAGAAGCUGUCCCAGGAAGAGAUAAUCUCCAACACCAAGCUGGUGAUCCAGGGCCUGGAGGCGCUGAAGAACGAGCACAACUCCAUCCUGCACAGCCUGCUGGAGACCAUCAAGUGCCUGAAGAAAGAUGAGGAGGCCAACCUGGUGCACGAGAAGUCCAGCCUGCUGCGCAAGUCUGUGGAGAUGAUCGAGCUGGGCCUGGGAGAAGCACAUGUGAUGAUGGCCCUGUCCAACCAUCUGAACGCGGUGGAGUCUGAGAAGCAGAAGCUGCGAGCCCAGGUGCGUCGGCUAUGCCAGGAGAACCAGUGGCUGAGGGACGAGCUGGCCAACACCCAGCAGAAGCUGCAGAAGAGCGAGCAGAGCGUGGCUCAGCUGGAGGAGGAGAAGAAGCACCUGGAGUUCAUGAACCAGCUCAAGAAGUACGACGAGGACGUCUCUCCCACUCAGGAGGAGAAGGACGGCGAGCCCCCCAAGGACUCUCUGGAUGAUCUCUUCCCCAACAAUGAAGAGGAGCAAGGCCAAGGCAUGCAGCACCAGCACAAUAGUGCGGCGGUGGCUGCAGCCCAGCAGGGAGGCUAUGAGAUCCCAGCCCGCCUGAGGACCCUCCACAACCUGGUGAUCCAGUAUGCCUCGCAGGGCCGCUACGAGGUGGCCGUGCCCCUCUGCAAACAGGCCCUGGAGGACCUGGAGAAGACCUCCGGACAUGACCACCCUGACGUGGCCACCAUGCUCAACAUCCUGGCCCUGGUCUACAGGGAUCAGAACAAAUACAAAGAGGCCGCCCAUCUGCUCAACGAUGCUCUGUCCAUCCGGGAGAAGACUCUCGGUAAAGACCACCCCGCUGUUGCCGCCACCCUCAACAACCUGGCCGUGCUCUAUGGGAAGAGGGGCAAGUACAAGGAGGCCGAGCCAUUAUGCAAGAGAGCCCUGGAGAUAAGAGAAAAGGUACUGGGCAAGGAUCACCCAGAUGUGGCCAAGCAGCUGAACAACCUGGCCCUGCUGUGUCAGAACCAGGGCAAGUAUGAAGAGGUAGAGUACUACUACUGCCGCGCCCUGGAGAUCUAUGAGUGCAGACUUGGUCCCGACGACCCCAACGUGGCAAAGACAAAGAACAACCUGGCAUCCUGCUUUCUCAAACAGGGCAAAUACAAGGAGGCUGAGAUUCUGUACAAAGAGAUUCUGACCCGUGCCCACGAGAAAGAAUUUGGAUCUGUCGAUGCUGAGAACAAACCCAUCUGGAUGCACGCGGAAGAGAGGGAGGAGAUGAGCAAGGGCAAGCACAGAGACAACACCCCGUACGGCGAGUGUGGAGGCUGGUAUAGGGCCUGCAAAGUCAACAGCCCUACAGUGAACACCACUCUGAGAAACCUGGGGGCUCUGUACCGCCGACAGGGCAAGCUGGAGGCCGCAGAGACCCUGGAGGAGUGUGCCAUGAGGUCCCGCAAGCAGAGCAACACGGGCAUAGACCCCAUCCACCAGAUGCGUGUGGUGGAGAUCUUAAAUGAUGGCGAGGGGGACAGGGAGAGGCGGAGGAGCAGGGACAGCCUGUCCAGCGUCAAGUACGAGAGCGGCUCCGAGACCGGCGAGGAAGUGAGUAUGGGCGUAGAGUGGAACGGGGUGAGUACAAAUCCACAACUUAUUCAGUCCCCUAAACUCCAGUGGCCUUAGUGAUGGAUAGAGCAGUCAUACAGAGUACACUGCUGAGCUAAUGGUCUGGUACAGUAGUACACCCGCAGCCCUAAUCCUAAACACUGUGCACACAGUGGUUGUGUACCAAUUCUCCACACUUUUUCCGAAGUGGGUACUUGCAAACCUGUACAUGGAUUUCAAAGGAUUGUUGUGAAAGCAUUAGCUGGAGGGAGUUGUCACCAUUGUUAAAUCCAUGAGAGGUGGGGUACUCACACCCGAAGUGCACAUUUCGGGUGAUGCAUGAAAAAUUGGGAUGCUAACACAGUCAUCAGUACUAAAGUAUGUGUGCAAGGAAAUUAAGGCUGUUCACUCCUGGAUCUGGAGAUGCAUCUAUAAGAAAUUGGAUUCCAGGUAUCUAUACUGUAUCAGUCCACCAGCUCUAUGUAUUAGUGCCCUGUCGUCACUAAAGUGUCACCUGGAAAUACCUUUUGAAAAGGCAAAAAGCUGAUUGAGUGUCUUGGCAUACCCUGUUGUGUAACUCCUGUUCAUUUAAAUACUGGCUUUGUAUGUGUUAACUUUUAUGUGGUGCUUGUAUAUUAUAAUUUCUCAUUUUAGCAGUGAAAUGUCCCUCAGUCAGACACUGGCUGCUUGUUCCCGUUAGGACAUCUGGACUGGUAAUGCUGGCGCAUAAGCCACAUCAAGAUUAUUGCCCCAUCCUUCUCUCUCUUCUCCCCUACCACGAAAUGAAAAGCUCCUCUACCAUUCCUGGUGUCCUCGGCAAGACUGAUCCUUGUUGUCACCUCUGUCCCUCUACUGACAACCGUUGGGAUGUUUGGUUUUCUCUCUCUCUUCCCACUGAUCCUGCGCUCUCUCUCUUUUCAUCCUUUUCUUUCACUGAUCCUGUCUCGCUCCUUCUUCAGAAUUUUCUCUUCCUAUUCCCAUAACACGAUGUCAUGCCUAUCACACUCUCUCCUCUUUUCUCCCUUCUUCUAACAUCCAUCUGUAAUAUUCAGCUGUAUUCUACUUUAUUUAAUAAUGACAUGAUAGAAGGGGUCAGUGUUUGAGUUUGGAAAAACUGUGUCCCGUUGGGAACACAGAGAAAAGCAGAAAUACCAGAAUGGUUUUGGACAAUGGGGAAUCUGUGUCCAUGUGACCUGCAACUGCUCCCGCCACCUUUAACAUAUGCCCAAAACCCCAGUCUGUUACCAUGACACCUGUCCCAUUGCUUUCACAACAUAGCUGAGGUUUGACUGUCUGCAUCUCAAGUCUCCCUUCAGGAUUUAACUGUUGCUUUGCAUUGGCCUCAGUCUGUAUUUGUGUUGGAGUCGCUUUGCUUUCGAGAGCACAUAUACACACGCAUACACACAUACACACACUUUCCCAGGACUGUAAGCAGCUGGCAUGUGAAAAUAGUAUGUGAUCAAAUACAACAUUUCUUGGAGUCUGCAGUUGACAAACUAGGUGCCUGUAUAUUAGCCGUAGUAGUAUCUUCUUAUUGAAAAAGUCAGUUUUAUUUGCUUUAAAGUUAAUUGAAUCAUUUUGAAAUGUAUCCAUAUGCCUGAGAUCAAUUAACUGAGCAGUUUUAAAUAAGUGUUGUAAUAAAUGCUAAUGACUUUGUUUUAUUACAUAAGGUAGGCUAACUCCGAUUACUUUUGAGUUCACAAGCGUGGGGAUGUUGUGGAUUCAAACUUGUCCUUUUUUAAAUAUAUAUUCUUCCUAUUUCGUUUUUAUUUUGUAAGUUUUUUUCUUGUUUACAUCACUUUUAUUAUGCUUGCUGUGUAUUGACGGCUGAAGAAAGCAGUGGUAUUCUAACUUACUAUACUACCGGUAUGUGGUGUUAUAGUAUCAUACAGUAACCGCUGCAUGUUUGUCUUGAUGGAUUAAUACACACUGCAGUAUUUUCAGCCUGUGAAUAAUAUAGUGGCUUUAAUGUACCCUUUUGACAAAAGCAAACUGUCAUUGCGACCUUCACAAUUACCCUAUGGCUUGAGUUCUUAUUGGCUAGACUGCUCUCCCUUCUUUGAUGCAUAGCGUUGGCCUAUUGUUUACCGUGCACAGGUUACGUUUAAAAAGGGAAUAGUGACACAUGAUCAAAUGGUUAAAGGCUACUUUAACAUCAAGACAAAACUAACAUUUACGUUAUCAAAACAGCCUUGUCGACGCAACGCCACAUCUGUUGUCUUCAAAUUAGAUUUUCAACCUCUGAGACCAAGGGUAUGUUAGUGACUUGAUGGGCUCUUCAUUGCCCGCAAUAUAUAGCCUUUGAAUUAUAUGCUGGUGUUGAGAUUGUAUAGGACAAAUUAUUGUUGCUGUUUGAGAAAACAUAUUAAUCAUAGUAUUGGUGUGUAUUUAUGUGUGAACGCUUUAAUGGAAUAUGUUGCCUUCCAUACAUCAGACAGUUAAUUACAGGUGAACAUUGUCCAUUUUGACUAGGCCUUUUUUUGGACUACAAAACCCAUAGUUAGUGCUCCCUCAAGGACAAUUUCUUAAGUGUUCAACUAACUAAAUGUAAUCAUUUCCACAUUAUACUUAAGCGUAUUAAUGAUAUUUAUGGAUAUGAUAAGUGCGCUCAUCACAUAAGCGUUUGUAAUGUCCUUUGCAUUGAUUUGCCAUUCCUAACCAUGAAGCAUACUGUUAAGAAUACAAGCAACACUGAAAAAGAGGGAGAGAAACGACAAUGUUCAUCACGUAAUUCUGACAAUAUUGUUGUUAUAUUGUAAUGCUGGUUAUUUAUUUUACCUGUCUGUAAUUUAUAUUAUAUUGUGUGAACUUCCGUUUCCUAGGGCAGAAGUAAACUUCAUGGCAAACUCUAUGCAUCUUAGAAUGUAGGACUGCAUAAUAUUUACAAUUUCUUCUUGCAUUGUGAUGAUUGUUGCAUCAACACUUGUUGGUAUUCUCAAAUAAAGUUUUUCAUUUGUGAA